GGUCAGUGAUGUGAUGUAAAAGGUCUGAAGCUGUCAACCACUUCCAGUCCCUUCUGUCCCUCUCAACAGCCCCCGUUUUUUAUAUUUUAUUUACCAGCAUGCUUUAGUUGUGUGUUGUUGGUUUGAGGUGGCUGCUGAUAUUAUGGAUGUUUCUGAUGAAGUAAGUCUUUUAGAGAACAAGUGAGACCCGAACCAGCAACAUCCAACAUCAGCUUAACACACAUGAGGGCGUGACUCAAAGUGACCGUUAAACCAGCUGGUGAUCUCAAGUUUUCAAGCUGAGAUC